rnacentral:piRNA from 1 species
AUUCACCCACAAUGGCACGUCUACAUAGA